AGCGAACGCUGGCGGCAGGCCUAACACAUGCAAGUCGAACGAACCUUUCGGGGUUAGUGGCGGACGGGUGAGUAACACGUGGGAACGUGCCUUUAGGUUCGGAAUAACUCAGGGAAACUUGUGCUAAUACCGCAUGUGCCCUUCGGGGGAAAGAUUAAUCGCCUUUAGAGCGGCCCGCGUCUGAUUAGCUAGUUGGGUGAGGUAAUGGCUCACCAAGGCGACGAUCAGUAGCUGGUCUGAGAGGAUGAUCAGCCACAUUGGGACUGAGACACGGCCCAAACUCCUACGGGAGGCAGCAGUGGGGAAUCUUGCGCAAUGGGCGAAAGCCUGACGCAGCCAUGCCGCGUGAAUGAUGAAGGUCUUAGGAUUGUAAAAUUCUUUCACCGGGGACGAUAAUGACGGUACCCGGAGAAGAAGCCCCGGCUAACUUCGUG
rnacentral:rRNA from 1 species